rnacentral:rRNA from 1 species
CAGCACCUCAAGUGGUCAGGAUGAUUAUUGGGCCUAAAGCAUCCGUAGCCGGCGCUGUAAGUUUUCGGUUAAAUCUGUACGCUCAGCGUACAGGCUGCCGGGAAUACUGCAGCGCUAGGGAGUGGGAGAGGUAGACGGUACUCGGUAGGAAGGGGUAAAAUCCUUUGAUCUAUUGAUGACCACCUGUGGCGAAGGCGGUCUACCAGAACACGUCCGACGGUGAGGGAUGAAAGCUGGGGGAGCAAACCGGAUUAGAGACCCGAGUAGUCC